rnacentral:rRNA from 1 species
GAAGGSUGCAAGCGUUACUCGGAAUUACUGGGCGUAAAGCGUGCGUAGGUGGUUUGUUAAGUCUGAUGUGAAAGCCCUGGGCUCAACCUGGGAAUGGCAUUGGAUACUGGCGAGCUAGAGUGCGGUAGAGGAUGGCGGAAUUCCCGGUGUAGCAGUGAAAUGCGUAGAGAUCGGGAGGAACAUCUGUGGCGAAGGCGGCCAUCUGGACCAGCACUGACACUGAGGCACGAAAGCGUGGGGAGCAAACAGGAUUAGAUACCCUGGUAGUCCACGCCCUAAACGAUGCGAACUGGAUGUUGGGAGCAACUAGGCUCUCAGUAUCGAAGCUAACGCGUUAAGUUCGCCGCCUGGGGAGUACGGGUCGCAAGACUG